UGUUCAGGUUUUGUGUUGUCUUUGUUUUUUUUAUCGUUUUCUUCUUGUUGGGAAAAAGAAAAAAAAAGGGGAGAGAGG
rnacentral:ribozyme from 1 species